GUGAUACAAAGACCUGAUAUGCAGUUUGUUUCCAGCCCAGAUGUCGCAGCCAUGGGACUUCUGAUCUAAACCAUGUCCUACAUUCCUCUAGAGGUGCAAGUGAGAAAGCGCUGAGUCAUUGCCUCCAAAGUAGACAAGCCACAAACGGUCCUGCUUCCAGUUCCUUCGGAAGCUAAGAAACAACUACCUCUCCAGAGUGCUGUUACAGCCUACCAGGAACAUCUCUCACAAAGACCUGUGAAACGCAGUUUCUUCCCAGCCCUGAUCUCGGUGAAGUAGAACUUCUGCACUGCGGUGUCCUACAUUGCCCUAGAGGUUCAAGGCACAAAGUCCUGUGUUGUUUCUUCAAGGGGAGACAGGCCACAAAGCGUCUUGCUUCCAGCUCUUUUGCAAGAUGGGAAAGAACUCGCUUUCCCCUGGGCUCUUACAGCCUACUGGGAACCUGUAAUACAAAGACCUGAAACAGAGUUUGUUUCCAGCUGAGAUCUCGCCGCCUUGGAACUUCUGCUCUAAGCCGUGUUCCACAUUGCUCUAGAGGUAGAAGUCACAAAGCACAGAGUCAUUGCCUAAAAGGAGACAAGCCACAAACGGUCUUGCUUUCUGCUCUUUGGGAAGCUAAGACACAACUCGCUCUCCACAGUGCUCUUACAGCCUACUGGGAACAUCUCUUACAAAGGCCUGUGAAUUGCAGUUACUUUCCAGCCUUGAUGUCGCUGAAGUAGAACUUGUGCUCUGCCGUGUCCUACAUGGCCUAGAGUUGCAAGGCACAAAGUCCUGCCUUGUUUCCUAAAGAGGAGACAGGCCAGAAAGCGUUUUGCUUCCAGCUCUUUGGGAAUCUACGAAACAACUCGCUCUCCACAGUGCUCCUGCAGCCUACUGGAAAAAUCUCUUACAAAGGCCUGGGAAACACAGUUACUUUCCAGACCUGAACUCGAUGAAUUAGAACUUGUGCUCUGCCAUGUCCUACAUUGCCCUAGAGUGGCAAGGCACAAAGUCGUGCCUUGUUUCCUUAAGAGGAGACAGGCCACAAAGCGUCUUUCUUCCAGGUCUUUGGGAAUCGAAGAAAGAACUCACUCUCCACAGUGCUCUUGCAGCCUUCGGGAGCAUCUCUUACAAAGGCCUGUGAAACGCAGGUUCUUCCCUGCCCUGAUCUCGUUGAAGUAGAACUUCUGCUCUGCCGUGUGCUACAUUUUCUUCGAUGUGCACGGCACAAAGUCCUGCCUUGUUUCCUCAAAGGGAGACAGGUCACAGACAGUCUUGCUUCCAGCUCUUUUGCAAGGUGAGAAAGAACUCGCUUUCCACAGCGCUCUUACAGCCUACCAGGAAACUCUCCUACGAAGGCCUGAAAUGCAGUUUGUUUGCAGCCAUGAUCUCAGCGCCUUGGAACUUCUGCUCUACGCCAUGUCCCACAUUGAUCUAAGGAUGGAAGACACAAAGCGCUGAGUCAUUGUCGCCACAGGAGACAAGCCAAACACGGUCUUGUUUCCAGCUCUUUGGUUAGCUAAGCAACAAGUCA
rnacentral:lncRNA from 1 species